rnacentral:tRNA from 1 species
ACUACUUUGGCAGAAAAGUGCCAUGGAUUUAGAAUUCAUAAAUGUAAGUUUUAUUCUUACAGGUAGUA